AACGGAUAAAAGGUACUCCGGGGAUAACAGGCUGAUACCGCCCAAGAGUUCAUAUCGACGGCGGUGUUUGGCACCUCGAUGUCGGCUCAUCACAUCCUGGGGCUGAAGUAGGUCCCAAGGGUAUGGCUGUUCGCCAUUUAAAGUGGUACGCGAGCUGGGUUUAGAACGUCGUGAGACAGUUCGGUCCCUAUCUGCCGUGGGCGCUGGAGAACUGAGGGGGGCUGCUCCUAGUACGAGAGGACCGGAGUGGACGCAUCACUGGUGUUCGGGUUGUCAUGCCAAUGGCACUGCCCGGUAGCUAAAUGCGGAAGAGAUAAGUGCUGAAAGCAUCUAAGCACGAAACUUGCCCCGAGAUGAGUUCUCCCUGACCCUUUAAGGGUCCUGAAGGAACGUUGAAGACGACGACGUUGAUAGGCCGGGUGUGUAAGCGCAGCGAUGCGUUGAGCUAACCGGUACUAAUGAACCGUGAGGCUUAACCUU
rnacentral:rRNA from 1 species